rnacentral:lncRNA from 1 species
AUGAGGCGCGCUGUCCUCAUCAGGCCGGGUCUGCAUCCCGCGCCCCCCGCGCCGAGCCUGCUAUACCCGGUCUAUACCCGGUCGGCGCUGACAGCCGCCAGCCCGCACGCAGCCCUGAUUGGCCCGGCUGCUCUCCCAGAUGCCAUAGCAACCCUGGCUGGUUGCCUAGCGAUUCAUCCCUCUCUUCCUUUUUCCCUAAAGCCCGAGCCAGUAAUCCAUAGGCUGCGGUGGAAACGUCUUUGUGCCGUGGUGUGUGCACGUGUGUACCUGCGUUUGCACACAGGUGUGUCUGGGUGUGUGUGCAGGGAGGGAACGGAAAGGGGCUGUCCUUCCCCCAGCAGACCUCAGACCCUUGGGGCGCACCUGUGCGGCCCCGCUGCCUGCCUCCCUGCCCUGCGCUCAGUCUGGGUGUCCUGGCACCUCCCUUCCUUGGGGACGGUGGUGAUGAAGGCCCAGGCUGCAGGCCCAGGUGCGACGUCCUCAGAUGCCUGCUGCACCUGGUCCCAGCCGGGUCCCCGAACCCCAAGUCCUCGGGGGCCACGGGUGCGUGUCUUCAGCACCCCCACCCCGCCCUGUGCCUUGUUGGUGAAGGGACGAUAUGACAAUGCCCAGGCUCUGUCCUUCUGCUGCUUCUUGGGCCAAACUGUCAGCUUCACGCACUGGGAAGAGCAGGAGUUGACCGGUGCUGUGAUGGGGCCUGCGUCCGGGGCCCGGCUGCCAGCACCAGGCCAGGGGGAGCCGAGGGCCAACCCUGCUCCGUCCUGGCCAGUCCCCUCGGAGGGGGCUUCUAGUGGACAUUGGGACCAGCCCCUUGGGAAGAAAGUUGGUGGGAAGACUCUGAUUGGUGUUGCCAUUUAUUUCUCUUUUUUAAAGAUUUUUCUUUUUAGAUUUUCUUUAUUUAUUCAUGAGAGACGCAGAGAGAGAGAGAGAGAGAGAGAGAGAGAGGCAGAGACACAGGCAGAGGGAGAAGCAGGCUCCAUGCAGGGAGCCCGACGGGGGAUUCGAGACCAGGACCCCAAGAUGAGGCCCUGGGCUGAAGGCGGCGCUAAACCGCUGAGCCACCCGGGCUGCCCUGCUUCUUUUGUUUAG